AAAACAUAAAAUUGUUAAAUGCAAUAUUGUAAGUCAGGGCUUUCUGUCUCUCUGAAUACCUUAUUCUUUAUCGCUUAGCAUAUCAAUUUCUCAUUUAUUGUCAUGACAUGCAACCAGAGGACUGUAUUCUAUAUCAAUACUUCAUUUAAAAAUUUUAUGUUUUAUAACAUUCACAUUAUACACUUUUAAAUUUAAAAUUUUCAUUUUGUAGUAUGCUUCUAAAUAACUUGUGAAGAGUACUCUACAAAAGGAAAUGGUUUCCUAAUGCCAGGGAGUGGUGCAUGGAGGGGAUAAAUGCCUCCUUGUUUGCCAUUUACAAGUUAAAACCAUUGGUUUCCAAUUUUAACCUGAUACAUAUUCUUUCAUUUUAACUUUCUCAUCCAUUAACAUAUAUUAGGCCUUAUAUAGCCACAUAUACAGAUGCACGUGAUCAGCAAUAUGAUUUUCAGAGUUUGUUUUUAUUUAAAAUAUUUAAUAUUUCAAAAAUUUUUAAGUGAAACUAUUGUGUAUAAAGGCAUUACUAAAAGAAAUCUUUAUUGUAUAAAUUGACUGCUAAAGAGCCUGGGAUGUUACAUGAUACUUUUUAUGGCUGUAAUUUAAUUUGUUCAUAUUAUUAACUGGGAUUACCAUGCCGUGUUACCCAAGAAAUUGAGAUAACUUCAUUCUGUAGCCCUUCAUAUAAAGUUCACUUCUAGUCUUUCGAAAUUCAGA